GUUCUGUAACCUUAAUAGACCGGAAUCCUCGUUGGUAUAUUUUAUUGUUAUUCAGGUGGAUUUUAUUGUGUUAGAGAUCUAAUAUUAAAAAGGCAAAAUAAAUUGUGACUUUAAUUAUGAUCUUACUAGUUACUAACUGGAUUGAUCAGACCUACUCUGAACACAGCACAUAUUGCAUUUGUCAUAAGCCAAGUUGUUUUAAAAGACUAAUUCCUGGUAAUAUAAAACAUCAUAAAUUUCAAUAAAAUUAAGUAAAAUAAUACAUUAACCCAUUAAGCUGCACAGCUUCCCCAUUGACAAGUAAAAUCGUCUGGUGUUAGACAAGUAAAAAAGAAGUAGGGCACACUGGGGUGCAUUGCGGCUGAUCAUUGGGCUAACUAGAGACAUUGUCAGAUUUUUUGGUUAACCCAUUAAGCUGCAGAGCUUCCCCAUUGACGAGUAAAAUCGUCUGGUGUUAGACAGGUAAAAAAAAAGUAGGGCGUACUGGUAUGGGGCACAUUGCGGCUCAAUAGGUUAAACCUUGCAUCAAAUAAGAAUGCU